rfam:Gongylonema pulchrum genome assembly, scaffold: GPTH_contig0020884
GGGCCAGUGGUGUAGUGGUAACACGUUGCGUCCGGACGUGAAGAGGAACGGUUCGAUUCCUUCCCGGUCCA